CGCGGGGUCGGAACGCGAAGAGGGUGUUGGAGUCGGGUUACCCAUGGAUUUUCCUUCCCUGACUUCCCCCGAGCCCUUGGGCCCACUUCCCGCCUGCCGCCUCCGUCCCCGCCCGACUCUUGGGCCAGCGCCUGGGCCCACACUUUCCUAUCCCCCGCAGACGCCGGUGGCCGUGGGUCCCUACGGACAGUCCCAGCCAAGCUGCUUCGACCGCGUCAAGAUGGGCUUCGUGAUGGGUUGUGCCGUGGGCAUGGCGGCCGGGGCGCUCUUCGGCACCUUUUCCUGUCUCACGAUCGGAAUGCGGGGUCGAGAGCUGAUGGGCGGCAUUGGGAAAACCAUGAUGCAGAGUGGCGGCACCUUUGGCACAUUCAUGGCCAUUGGGAUGGGCAUCCGAUGCUAACCAUGGUUGCCCACUACAUCUAUCCCUUCCCAUCAAUCCCAGCCCACGUACUAAUAAAAGAAAGUCUUUGAAAAAAAAAAAAAAAAAGAA